UACACAUGCAAGUCGAACGGCAGCAUGAUCUAACUUGCUAGAUUGAUGGCGAGUGGCGAACGGGUGAGUAAUACAUCGGAACGUGCCCUGUAGUGGGGGAUAACUAGUCGAAAGAUUAGCUAAUACCGCAUACGACCUGAGGGUGAAAGUGGGGGACCGCAAGGCCUCAUGCUAUAGGAGCGGCCGAUGUCUGAUUAGCUAGUUGGUGGGGUAAAGGCCCACCAAGGCGACGAUCAGUAGCUGGUCUGAGAGGACGAUCAGCCACGCUGGGACUGAGACACGGCCCAGACUCCUACGGGAGGCAGCAGUGGGGAAUUUUGGACAAUGGGCGAAAGCCUGAUCCAGCAAUGCCGCGUGUGUGAAGAAGGCCUUCGGGUUGUAAAGCACUUUUGUCCGGAAAGAAAUGGCUCUGGUUAAUACCUGGGGUCGAUGACGGUACCGGAAGAAUAAGGACCGGCUAACUACGUGCCAGCAGCCGCGGUAAUACGUAGGGUCCAAGCGUUAAUCGGAAUUACUGGGCGUAAAGCGUGCGCAGGCGGUUGUGCAAGACCGAUGUGAAAUCCCCGAGCUUAACUUGGGAAUUGCAUUGGUGAUUGCACGGCUAGAGUGUGUCAGAGGGGGGUAGAAUUCCACGUGUAGCAGUGAAAUGCGUAGAGAUGUGGAGGAAUACCGAUGGCGAAGGCAGCCCCCUGGGAUAACACCGACGCUC
rnacentral:rRNA from 1 species